UACGGAGGGUGCGAGCGUUGUCCGGAUUUAUUGGGCGUAAAGAGCUCGUAGGCGGUUCGGCAAGUCGGGUGUGAAAUUUCGAGGCUCAACCUCGAAACGCCACUCGAUACUGCUGUGACUGGAGUCCGGUAGAGGAGUGCGGAAUUCCUGGUGUAGCGGUGAAAUGCGCAGAUAUCAGGAGGAACACCAACGGCGAAGGCAGCACUCUGGGCCGGUACUGACGCUGAGGAGCGAAAGCGUGGGGAGCAAACAGG
rnacentral:rRNA from 1 species